AUUGAACGCUGGCGGCACGCCUUACACAUGCAAGUCGAACGGCAGCAUAGGAGCUUGCUCCUGAUGGCGAGUGGCGAACGGGUGAGUAAUAUAUCGGAACGUGCCCUAGAGUGGGGGAUAACUAGUCGAAAGACUAGCUAAUACCGCAUACGAUCUACGGAUGAAAGUGGGGGAUCGCAAGACCUCAUGCUCCUGGAGCGGCCGAUAUCUGGUUAGCUAGUUGGUGGGGUAAAAGCUCACCAAGGCGACGAUCAGUAGCUGGUCUGAGAGGACGACCAGCCACACUGGGACUGAGACACGGCCCAGACUCCUACGGGAGGCAGCAGUGGGGAAUUUUGGACAAUGGGGGCAACCCUGAUCCAGCAAUGCCGCGUGAGUGAAGAAGGCCUUCGGGUUGUAAAGCUCUUUUGCCAGGGAAGAAACGGUUCUGGAUAAUACCUGGGACUAAUGACGGUACCUGAAGAAUAAGCACCGGCUAACUACGUGCCAGCCGCCGCCGUAA
rnacentral:rRNA from 1 species